rnacentral:rRNA from 1 species
GCUGGCGGAGUGCUUAAUACAUGCAAGUCGAACGAGAAAGUAUCUUCGGAUGAUGAGUAUAGUGGCGAACGGGUGAGUAACACGUAAGCAACUUGGCCUUAAGUUUGGAAUAACCCUGCUAACGCGGGGCUAAUACCAAAGAAAUCUUAAAACUGCAUGGUUUAAAGAUUAAAGUGGCAUAGUCAUGCUUAAGGAUGGGCUCGCGGCCUAUUAGCUAGUUGGUAAGGUAACGGCUUACCAAGGCGACGAUAGGUAGCCGACCUUAGCGGGUGAUCGGCCACAUUGGGACUGAGAUACGGCCCAGACUCCUACGGGAGGCAGCAGUAGGGAAUAUUGCGCAAUGGACGAAAGUCUGACGCAGCAACUCCGCGUGAGGGAUGACGGUUUUCGAAUUGUAAACCUCUGUUGACAGGGAAGAACCUUAUAAGUGAACCUUAUAACUGACGGUACCUGUCGAGGAAGCCCCGGCUAAAUACGUGCCAGCAGCCGCGGUAAUACGUAUGGGGCAAGCGUUGUUCGGAAUCACUGGGCGUAAAGCGAACGUAGGCGGGUUUGUAAGUUAGGAGUUUAAGACGGCGGCUUAACCGACGGAAUGCUCUUAAUACUGCAUACCUUGAGUAUGGGAGAGGAAGAUGGAAUUCCGAGUGUAGCGGUGGAAUGCGUAGAUAUUCGGAAGAACACCAGUUGCGAAGGCGGUCUUCUGGCCCAAUACUGACGCUGAGGUUCGAAAGCAAGGGGAGCGAACAGGAUUAGAUACCCUGGUAGUCCUUGCCGUAAACGAUGGAUACUAGUUGUGGGUAUUUUCGGAUAUCCGUGACGUAGCAAACGCAUUAAGUAUCCCGCCUGGGGAGUACGCUCGCAAGAGUGAAACUCAAAGGAAUUGACGGGGGCCCGCACAAGCGGUGGAGCAUGUGCUUUAAUUCGAUGCAACGCGAAGAACCUUACCUGGCCUUGACAUGGGGAUGAAAGUUUUUAGAGAUAAGAACCUUCCUUCGGGACAUCCUACACAGGUGCUGCAUGGUUGUCGUCAGCUCGUGUCGUGAGAUGUUGGGUUAAGUCCCGCAACGAGCGCAACCCUUGUCCUUAGUUGCCAUCAGGUAAUGCUGGGAACUCUAAGGAGACUGCCCGGAUUAACCGGGAGGAAGGUGGGGAUGACGUCAAAUCAUCAUGGCCCUUACGGCCAGGGCUAGACACGUGCUACAAUGGGCGGUACAGAGGGCGGCGAGACCGUGAGGUGGAGCUAAUCCCAUAAAACCGUUCACAGUUCGGAUUGGAGUCUGCAAUUCGACUCCAUGAAGUUGGAAUCGCUAGUAAUCGCGGAUCAGCAUGCCGCGGUGAAUACGUUCCUGGGCCUUGUACACACCGCCCGUCAAGCCAUGAAAGAUGGUAGUGCCCGAAGUCG